AGUUAAUUAAUUUAUUUAAAAUAUUUAUUUUGAAAAUAAAAAAUAGAAAAAUUUUCUAUUAACUU
rnacentral:tRNA from 1 species